CACGUAGGGGCAAGCGUUGUCCGGAUUUAUUGGGCGUAAAGAGCUCGUAGGUGGUUCGAAUGAAGUCGGGUGAUGAACCUCCAGGCUCAACCUGGAGACGCCACCCGAUACUGUCGUGACUAGAGUCCAGUAGGGAGCGUGGAAUUCCUGGUGUAGCGGUGAAAUGCGCAGAUAUCAGGAGGAACACCGGUGGCGAAGGCGGUCUCUGGCCGAUGACUGACGCUGGAGGAGCGAAAGCGUGGGAGCGAACAGG
rnacentral:rRNA from 1 species